GGUCUUGUAUUCAUUUUGUGAUUACAGAAUGCAAUUCUGUAGGGGUAGUUAUUAUCUAUCAAGGCCU
rnacentral:tRNA from 1 species